UACGUAGGUGGCAAGCGUUGUCCGGAUUUAUUGGGUUUAAAGGGUGCGUAGGCGGCCCUGUAAGUCAGUGCUGAAAUAUCCCAGCUUAACUGGGAGGGUGGCAUUGAUACUGCGGGGCUAGAGUACAGAUGAGGUAGGCGGAAUUGACGGUGUAGCGGUGAAAUGCUUAGAUAUCGUCAAGAACACCUAUAGCGAAGGCAGCUUACUAGGCUGUAACUGACGCUGAGGCACGAAAGCAUGGGGAGCGAACGGG
rnacentral:rRNA from 1 species